rnacentral:tRNA from 1 species
GCCAAUCUGGCUCAGUGGACAGAGCGUUGGCCUGUGGACCAAAAGGUACCAGGCUCGAUUCCGGUCAAGGGCA